GGAGGCCCUCAAAAACUAAACGGGGCUCAGACUCUGACCAGUCUCCACCCAGGGGGCAGCCACCGAGUGGAAGGGACUCGGAUGGAGAUUUGUCACCACCUCGUAGGCCAGGCCAGUCACAGGGCCAAAGGAUGCUAUCUGGUGGAAAGGCAGGCCUGGUUUCUGUGGACAUUUAAGGAAAGAGCAAAAGGAGAACAGACGCAGAGAAAAACACAAUCAGCCACUUGAAGAUGAAUCGCGUAAGGCUCAGACGAUUUUCAGAGACAAAAGUGGCAAAAGGAGGGAUCUGGAUUCAGAGAGAAAUGAACAGAAAAAGAAAGCUGGUGAA